CGGGAAGGUCAGGAGGGGGAAGACCAGCCAUCUGCAGAGGUGCUCCUUGGAGAGGGUGUGUGGGAGUGGGCAUCCCUCUCUCCCUGUUCUAUGAGCCGCCACCCCCCGCAGUAACUGGCUGAGCCCAUCCUGGGGCCAUGCUGUCACUACACUCCUGUCCCGUCUCUUUUAUGACCCACACCUGCCCCACCUGGGCAGUAGGGUCAUCCGGCCACGGCCACUCACGCUGGGGUUGCCUCAGAAGCAACGUCAUGCACCUUUUGUGGCAGAUGUCCCCCGAGACUGUUGAUAGCACCUCUUUUCCCGGUAUGACCUGGGGCCCUUGAGGGAAUUUCUCAGCAACGCAUAACAGCAAUAAAAAUAAACAAGCCGUUGUUGGGAGGGCGAAACGGGAGAGGCGGAGCGCAGGAUCUCGUUAUGAAGGAGAGAGACAGCCAAACUUCAGGGCGCCGGCUGAGGUCCUCCGGCCCCGAAGGGGGCUGCCAGCGGGAAGGGCUCUUGGUGACCGGAUCCGGGGUUCAGACCUCCUCUGUGAGCGCCGGCCGCGUGAUUCGCACUCUGCUCUUACCUGGAGCAGGACGCUGGGACGAAGGACUCAUGAAGAACUGA
rnacentral:lncRNA from 1 species